CCCGCCCCCUCCGCGGGGCGCCCGAGCGCCUCUUGGGCCUGAGCCUUCCGCGCCCAGCCCUUUCCCUCUGCCCCUUCCCACACCCCGACCCACCCCAGGCCUCGCCUGGAAGCAGAGAAUUUCAGGAAUCUCAGAAACCUCAGAACACAGACAGCUCUACGGAGCGCCUACUGCGCGCCGAGCUCUGCGCAAGGCCCCGCGGGGACUUGGAGGCCCUGGCGACAGUGCAGAUGGAGCCUGUGAGUGAGGGUGAAUGAGAAAGAGAAAGCAAACGAGAGAGUUUGCUCCCCUGAAAUCCUGGCCAGCGGUCAUGGCUUUGGCUGCGGAAUUUCUCUGAGGGAGAGUGAUGGAAAGCCCAGAGAUUACCGAGCAUCUGAGAGGAGUCAGACAUGGACAUCGUGCCACACUUUGCACCGUGGAAAACGGCAGAGAAAUCUAUAAGCUUGGCUUUCGGAGAAUAGGUCCCGGAGGUGGGAUAAAGUGGCUCCGUGCACCUGCAGCUCAGCUGGGUGCCUCCGGGGGAAUCGCGCCACCUCAAGCAAGACAAGACCCACUUGCCAGGAGUCUGGGGGCAGAGAGCUGGGGAAGGAGCCCGCCUGGGUAUGUCUCUUUGCCUUGACAGGUUCUCUGGGGAAGUCAGCUUUUAUGAAGCCUGAAGAACGAUUUGUAAUCGGCCCAUCAGAUAUUCAGAAACACUUUUUCACCUAGAAUCUCACUUGCUGGGAGUCUGUGGCCUGUAGUGGCUAUGGAUUCUCCGUCAGCAUCUGCAGUCCUCUACCCCAUGUCCGAGGCAGCCUGGAUCUCCCAGUGGGCAAAUCCCACCUCUCAAUGGGUCCAGGCCCACCGCAUCCUUGGGAGGCAUCUGGGUCUCACGGUCCUGAGCUGCUGUCUUCUGGGACGACCGGGAAUCGGGCCCACUGGCCUGGGUCUUCUGCUAACAGGGCAGCUUCCAGCCCAAGCCUAACAGUUGCCAAUCCUGGGAGCUCUACCAGACACCCUCCUCCUCCUCCUGUCUCUGCUCUCUCCAGCUCCAUCCUGUGUCCCAUUCCCCCCCCACCCCCACCCAAGGCUUGGACCUUAUUCUUGAACUUUGAGUGCCCUUGGGCUGCUUCUUCACUCCAUUUGCUCAGGAUGUGCAGAAUCACUGAAGAGAAUUCAUGUUGGGUGUAGGGGAAUAGGCGAAGGGAAUUAAGAGUACACUUGUCUGGGUGAGCACUGAGUAAUAUAUGAAAGUGUUGAACUGCUACAUUGUACACCUGAAACAACUAUACCACUGUCUGUUACCUACACUGGAAUUAAAAAAAAAAAUUCACA